rnacentral:rRNA from 2 species
UGGUGACAAUAGCGUUUUGGACCCACCUGACCCCAUGCCGAACUCAGUAGUGAAACGAAACAGCGCCGAUGAUAGUG